rnacentral:rRNA from 1 species
GGCGGUUUGGCCUGUUUCGGCCGAGUGAAGCGGCACAGCUCAAUUUGAAUCUGGCUCUUUUAGAGUCCGACCUGUAAUUUGCAGAGGGCGCUUUGGCUUUGGCAGCGGUCCAAGUUCCUUGGAACAGGACGUCACAGAGGGUGAGAAUCCCGUACGUGGUCGCUGGCUAUUGCCGUGUAAAGCCCCUUCGACGAGUCGAGUUGUUUGGGAAUGCAGCUCUAAAUGGGAGGUACAUUUCUUCUAAAGCUAAAUAUUGGCCAGAGACCGAUAGCGCACAAGUAGAGUGAUCGAAAGAUGAAAGCACUUUGGAAAGAGAGUCAAACAGCACGUGAAAUUGUUGAAAGGGAAGCGCUUGCAGCCACACUCGCUUACAGUUGCUCAUCCGGGUUUCUACCCGGGCACUCUUCUGAGCAGGCCAGCAUCAUUUGGGGCGGAAGGAUAAAGGUCUCUGUACGUACCUCCUUUCGGGGAGGCCUUAUAGGGGAGACGACUACUACCCGCCUGGGACUGAUGUCCGCGCAUCUGCUAGGAUGCUGGGCUAAUGGUGAAAGCGGCCCGUCUUUGAAACCCGACCAAGGAGUCUAACU